rnacentral:rRNA from 1 species
AUUGAACGCUGGCGGCAGGCCUAACACAUGCAAGUCGAGCGGAUGAAGGGAGCUUGCUCCUGGAUUCAGCGGCGGACGGGUGAGUAAUGCCUAGGAAUCUGCCUGGUAGUGGGGGAUAACGUCCGGAAACGGGCGCUAAUACCGCAUACGUCCUGAGGGAGAAAGUGGGGGAUCUUCGGACCUCACGCUAUCAGAUGAGCCUAGGUCGGAUUAGCUAGUUGGUGGGGUAAAGGCCUACCAAGGCGACGAUCCGUAACUGGUCUGAGAGGAUGAUCAGUCACACUGGAACUGAGACACGGUCCAGACUCCUACGGGAGGCAGCAGUGGGGAAUAUUGGACAAUGGGCGAAAGCCUGAUCCAGCCAUGCCGCGUGUGUGAAGAAGGUCUUCGGAUUGUAAAGCACUUUAAGUUGGGAGGAAGGGCAGUAAGUUAAGACCUUGCUGUUUGGACGUGACCAACAGAAUAAGCACCGGCUAACUGCGU